rnacentral:snoRNA from 1 species
GCCGGUGAUGAGUUAUCCAUGUUUUUGAGGUGUAGUUGGUUCCAAGUCCCUGUUUGCAGGGAGAACCUACUUGGAGCUGCUACAUUUUUGUACGAAAUUACUGGAUAUUUCUGAGGC